CUAAACGACCUUUCACUGGAAAUACACCAGAACAAGAACUACAACAUAAACCCCCUUCAUCGCCUGAGCUCCUUACCACGGAGAGCGUUCAUCAAGCAUAAUCGAGAUCUCGUCCGAAAAGCACCAAACCCUCGAGAGUCAUGACGGUAACAAGCCACCACCAACUUCAAGCUUUAUCUUUUUGGAGUUCCCUUUUUUUGUUUGUUUAACCCCAUAGCAUUCCGUUAUCAUCUAUUACAUCAAUAAUAUGGUUUUGUUCAUUGCCUAAUUAAUGUGUUCAUCAAGGUUCUUAAUCUAAACUUGUGGCCUUUUCUAUCAGUAGGUGGAUUAUGAGAUCUUUGGACUGCGAAAACGGAGACUUCUUUUCUCCCACUUUCUUUUCUUUAUUUAUAAACCCA
rnacentral:lncRNA from 1 species